UACGAAGGGGGCUAGCGUUGCUCGGAAUCACUGGGCGUAAAGCGCACGUAGGCGGCUUUUUAAGUCAGGGGUGAAAUCCUGGAGCUCAACUCCAGAACUGCCCUUGAUACUGAGAAGCUUGAGUCCGGGAGAGGUGAGUGGAACUGCGAGUGUAGAGGUGAAAUUCGUAGAUAUUCGCAAGAACACCAGUGGCGAAGGCGGCUCACUGGCCCGGUACCGACGCUGAGGCACGAAAGCGUGGGGAGCAAACAGG
rnacentral:rRNA from 1 species